rnacentral:rRNA from 1 species
AUGGCGCCCGUGAGCAACAGGAUGUUCCUGCCCACGGCGGCGUCCUGGGAGGCGACGGUGAGGCCAUCCUUCGUGCGCGACGAGGACGAGCGGCCUAAGGUGGCGCACGACCACUUCAGCGACGCGGUGCCGGUCAUCUCGCUCCAGGGCAUCGACGGCGUGUGCCGGGCCGAGAUCCGGGACCGCGUGGCCGCUGCCUGCGAGGAUUGGGGCCUCUUCCAGGUGGUGGACCACGGCGUGGAUGCCGACCUCGCAGCCGACAUGGCGCGUCUGUCCCGCGAGUUCUUCGCGCUGCCUGCCGAGGACAAGGUCCGGUACGACAUGUCCGGCGGCAAGAAGGGCGGCUUCAUCGUCUCCAGCCACCUCCAGCAGGGCGAGGCGGUGCAGGACUGGAGGGAGCUAGUGACCUACUUCUCCUACCCGGUGAAGGCACGGGACUACGGGCGUUGGCCGGAGAAGCCGGCGGGGUGGCGCGCGGUAGUGGAGCGGUACAGCGAGCGGCUGAUGGAGCUGUCGUGCAAGCUGCUGGGCGUGCUCUCGGAGGCGAUGGGCCUGGAGACGGAGUCCCUGGCCAAGGCGUGCGUGGACAUGGACCAGAAGGUGGUGGUCAACUUCUACCCGCGGUGUCCCCAGCCCGAGCUCACCCUGGGCGUCAAGCGCCACACCGACCCCGGCACCAUCACCCUCCUCCUCCAGGACCUAGUCGGCGGCCUGCAGGCCACCCGCGACGGCGGCAAGACCUGGAUCACCGUCCAGCCCGUCUCCGGCGCAUUCGUCGUCAACCUCGGCGACCACGGCCAUUACUUGAGCAACGGGCGGUUCAAGAACGCUGACCACCGCGCGGUGGUGAACGGGGAGAGCAGCAGGCUGUCCAUCGCGACGUUCCAGAACCCGGCGCCCGACGCGAGGGUGUGGCCGCUGGCGGUGAAGGAGGGGGAGGAGACCAUACUGGAGGAUCCCAUCACCUUCGCGGAAAUGUACCGCCGCAAGAUGGAGGGCGACCUCGACCGCGCAAGCCGCAAGAAGCAGGCGAAGGACCAGCUGAACUAA